rnacentral:rRNA from 1 species
AGUGAACGCUGGCGGUAGGCCUAACACAUGCAAGUCGAACGCAGCCACGUUAGAGCCUGCCCUUUACGGUUGCCGGUGGGCGGAGGGGUAGGAAUUCCAUGGAAACCUCCUUUUUGUGGGGGAUUAACGAGGGAAAACUUAGCCUAUAACGCCAUCCGACCUCGGGUGAAAACCGGGGGUUCUCCGGCCUUUCGCCGUUGCAUGAGCCGAUGUCGGAUUAGCUAGUUGGCGGGGUAAAGGCCCACCAAGGCGACGAUCCGUAGCUGGUCUGAGAGGAUGAUCAGCCACACUGGAACUGAGACACGGUCCAGACUCCUACGGGAGGCAGCAGUGGGGAAUAUUGGACAAUGGGCGCAAGCCUGAUCCAGCCAUACCGCGUGGGUGAAGAAGGCCUUCGGGUUGUAAAGCCCUUUUGUUGGGAAAGAAAAGCAGCAGGUUAAUACCCCGCUGUUCUGACGGUACCCAAAGAAUAAGCACCGGCUAACUUCGUG